GGGAGGAAAAGAAUGAAGCAGAGGAGACCAAGAAGGAGCAGUCAGACAGAGAUAAAAAGUUCAUGCAUACCACAUCCAAAGGCUUGCUGGUGCUCUUGUGCUCACUAUGAACGACCCACAAAAAGAAACAAAGAAAUAUGUUGCUAGUGAAAAAUAUAACAGGAUUUGAUAGAGUGACAAAAAAACAAUUAUCCUAACUGCAAAUGGAAACAGAAUGAAUUCACCCACAAAAUGGAAUGGAGUAGAAGAAUAAAUUAAAAACAAAAAGUAAACCCA
rnacentral:lncRNA from 1 species